GUCAAAGUUCCUCUAGUCGUCGUUUCCUGCAAUUGAGUCUUUACCCCUGUAAGUAAGAACAAGAAAACCCCAUCACCAAGAAGAAAGAAACAGCGAUAACAAGAAACCAUGUGUUGCUGCUGUGAUGACUGCGAAUGCAGGCCUUUAGGGUUUCUGUUAGGUCUUCCCUUCGCCUUUGUCUCCCUUCUCCUCUCUCUCAUUGGUGUCGUUAUUUGGAUUGUAGGGUUGGUGUUGAGUUGCAUAUGCCCAUGUUGCUUCUGUGUGACCGUNGUUCGCAUUGGGAUUGAUCAAAGCUCCCUUUCUGAUCAUGAAGUGGUUCACCUCCAAGAUCCCUUGUUAAGGUUUCAGAUUUAUCAUUAUUAGUUAGAUUAAUUCAUUGAUUAUAGGAUAUUAUUGUUGACUUUUUCUUGAGGAUGAUGAUCCAUGUGUCUUGAUUUCCUUUUUACAAGUUAAUAAUAUUUCAUUUUUAAAACAAAGCUUAAAGAUGUAGGCAUUUGUUUGUAGUUCAGAGAUUGAACAAAAGCAAUUUUCUUUAAUUUUUUUUUUUUUAAUCAUCGUUAGUCUA
rnacentral:misc_RNA from 1 species